UCAAAAAACUGUUGAUUUAAUUAAAAAACAUACUGUUCGGGUAGCUUGAAAUCUUUUAAGAUUUGUGUAGGUCUAUUGACUACUUACAAAGAUAAUUUGUGAAAAUGUUAUUAUUUUGAAUGAAUUAUGGGCCAGUUCAUUAAGUCUCAGUACACUAGGGUAAAAACAAAGGCUUUCUAUUUCCCCCACUAUUGCUUUCGUUGGAGCUCUGCUGGACCUCCCCAUUCGGUCCCUUAGGGGCCUCUUGGGCAGAUGCCAUAACUUGCUAGUCACUUUCAAUUACAAAGGUUCUAUUUAUUUUAAAAUUUUAUUCUAAAUCUCUAUUUCUCCCCUUCUCCAGGCAAAGGCUCCCCCUUCAGAAUGUUCAGGAUGGAUGAAUUUGGACAGAGUUCUAC